CUAUAAGUCUCCUGAAGGAACGUUAAAGACGAUGACGUUGAUAGGCCGGGUGUGUAAGCGCAGCGAUGCGUUGAGCUAACCGGUACUAAUGAACCGUGAGGCUUAACCUUACAACGCCGAAG
rnacentral:rRNA from 1 species